GGCUUAAACAACAAAAACAAAGUCUAUAUAUUAAAUACAAAGUCAUACAUAAAAAAUUGAAACAAACUUGCCUUAUACUUUAGGAUUUCUUAUACUAAACCAAUUCUUAAUGUUUACGUUUAAAAAUUGUAAAAAGAUUUUACAAUUUGUUAUGUGAAACGAUUUCCCGAGUCUUCUUACAUUUUUUUUUUAUAUUUUUCCUCCUUCACUCCUGGCGAACAGCCGUAUUUUGAUAUCAGUGAGAUGACCACUCAUACACCAUCAUGCCCCCGCGAUAUUUGAUGCACUUUAGACUUCGCUAGUGCGUUCCUUUCCCCGGGUGCAAAUAGCCGGGCAGAAUUAGUACCCUUGCCCUGGGCUUACGCCUGGAACGACGCUCGGCGCCGUUUGCUCAAGGACAAAGCACAUGUCACAGAAGUUGCAGAACUGAACAAAUAGCGAUGUAAAUACUGGGUACGUACUGUAAAAGGACAUUUACGGUUACGUACUGUAGAAUAAAAAACAAACAAUCGUCGAAUGCUCGGCCUAACGACAAUUUCCGAAAUUCAUCAUCAUGUAUAAUAAAAAACCCAUAAACGACGAUUUCCGAAACGACCUGACGACAAUUUCCGAAAUUCAUCAUCUUGAAAUCCUAUUUUUUAGGUGUAUGAAUGCGUUAGCCGCUGCUAACACAAAAACUUUUAAG